rnacentral:rRNA from 1 species
GAUGAACGCUAGCGGCAGGCCUAACACAUGCAAGUCGAGCGGGAUUAAUUGGUAGCUUGCUACUAAUUAUGAGAGCGGCGCACGGGUGCGUAACGCGUAUGCAACCUACCUUAUACUGGGGUAUAGCCCGGAGAAAUUCGGAUUAAUCCCCCAUAGCAUUAUCGAUUCGCAUGUUUUGAUAAUCAAAGGUUACGGUAUAAGAUGGGUAUGCGUCCUAUUAGCUAGAUGGUGAGGUAACGGCUCACCAUGGCGACGAUAGGUAGGGGGCCUGAGAGGGUGGUCCCCCACACCGGUACUGAGACACGGACCAGACUCCUACGGGAGGCAGCAGUGAGGAAUAUUGGUCAAUGGGCGAAAGCCUGAACCAGCCAUGCCGCGUGCAGGAAGACGGUCCUAUGGAUUGUAAACUGCUUUUAUUUGGGAAUAAACCUCUUUACGUGUAGAGAGCUGAAGGUACCAAAUGAAUAAGCACCGGCUAACUCCGUGCCAGCCGCCGCGGUAACAC